ACCCCGGGAGCUUUACUGAAGCUAGACAUUGGCAAGAGGUAUUUAAUUGUUUAGAGUAGGAGGGAG
rnacentral:rRNA from 1 species